rnacentral:tRNA from 1 species
GGCUCGGUAGCUUAGUUGGAAAAGCACUUGUCUAGCGAAUAAGGGUCGUGAGUUCAAAUCUCAUCUGAGCUG